GACGAACGCUGGCGGCGUGCUUAACACAUGCAAGUCGAACGGAAAGGCCCUGCUUUUGUGGGGUGCUCGAGUGGCGAACGGGUGAGUAACACGUGAGUAACCUGCCCUUGACUGUGGGAUAACUUCAGGAAACUGGGGCUAAUACCGGAUAGGAGCUCCUGCUGCAUGGGGGGGGUUGGAAAGUUUCGGCGGUGGGGGAUGGACUCGCGGCUUAUCAGCUUGUUGGUGGGGUAGUGGCUUACCAAGGCUUUGACGGGUAGCCGGCCUGAGAGGGUGACCGGCCACAUUGGGCCUGAGAUACGGCCCAGACUCCUACGGGAGGCAGCAGUGGGGAAUAUUGCACAAUGGGCGGACGCCUGAUGCAGCAACGCCGCGUGCGGGAUGACGGCCUUCGGGUUGUAAACCGCUUUCGCCUGUGACGAAGCGUGAGUGACGGUAAUGGGUAAAGAAGCACCGGCUAACUACGUG
rnacentral:rRNA from 1 species